ensembl:lncRNA
UCAUUUUCCUUAUUAAAAAUAUAAAUUUUAGCUUUCUCCUUGCAUCUCGGGGAGUGAUGUACGGAAGAGCAUUAGGGCCACAUGUGAAUUUUUUUUUUAGUUCUGAUUUUAAAGUCAGAAUUCUGAGAUUAAAGUCAGAAUUCUGACUUUUUUCUCAGAAUUCUGACUUUUUUCUCAGAAUUCUGAGAUUAAAGUCAGCAUUCUGACUUUUUUCCUCAGAAUUCUGACUUUUUUCUCAGAAUUCUGACUUUAAAGUCAGAACUAUAAAAAAAAUUCACAUGUGGCCCUAAUCCUCUUCCGUAGUGAUGUCACGUAUGCAACAAGUUGCAUUUUCAGCAUGUGGACAACAUACGAGUAAAACCAAGCAGCGACACAAACAUGAACAACAACGGAGGGAGGAGAGAGAUGAACGUUUUCUAGCUGGAAAUACAGUCAUUAUUUUGAGUUAGUGUCAGCUAAAGAUAAGAAUAUUAAUAUCGUUGUACACUCUGUGCUGGCAACAAAGUACUAUGAAGCUUCAAAAACAACGUCAAAUUUGAAGAAACAUUUGGAGUUGCAGCACAGUUAAUUUACAGAGCAAGUCCCAGCAGGUGGUGUUAAGUAGAGAGCUGCGAGCAAAAGCAAAGAUGUCAUUCCACGUCAUCCUAACCAGACGCAGUGUACCCUCAUCCAGUACAGUACAUCUCCAGGUGGGCACUUCUGCUCACUGACACUGGUCCGGAGCCUGUCGACAGAACAAGCUCUCCAUUUGGGUUGGCAUUCGUCGGCAGUUCAGGCAGGUGCACCACGCAGGCUGCCCUCUGCCUGGAACAUGUGGUCCUGGUGUCUGUUGCCAGAACUCCAGGAUGUCCAGCAGCACCCCUGUUUCUGUUGCACCUACUUCUGGAGACAUUCAGCAGAAUUUCCCCUACAACACUGGAGUGGACAGUUCAUGGAUCCCCCCUGCAAAACUAGAAUCGACUGAUUUGAAUAGCUAGAUGAUAGUGAUGAUCUGUUCUAUGGAGCAGAUGACAUUUUCAUCGCCAGCAUACCAGAUGCCACCCUAGCAGUCUUUGAAUACUCCCUUCCACUCUCAGCAGCCCCUUUUAGAUAGAAAAGGCGGCAAAUUUGUGACAAGGUAAAGGUGGUAAUGUGCUGCCCUGUUAUUGUAAAAGGGAGGUGUAAUAUUCCUCCUUUUCCAAAAGCCGCCACUUGGCUGCCACUGGGGUAGGCGUAAACAUGUGACAUGGCGUGAAGCACGGAGUUGGGCAGUGAACAGUGACAACAAAUUUGUCUUCAAAAUAAGAGCUUCACAUUGCACCCCAUUGGAGUUUAGAACUGGGUUCUUAGCAGGAGGCUUUUAAUUUGAAAGUAGUGACUGUUCGUAGCUUGCCGCUAAAACAACAAGCAAACACAACCAAACAGCUCAAGAGACUGAGGAGACGCUAGCAUCUCCUGGAUCUCAGCGGCUUUCCAGUUGCUCAUCAUGAUGUCCGCAGAUGAAGUAAUGGACUGGCUGCUGUGAUCAGCUGUUUCCUGGAUAUAAAACACCCUGGCUGCGAGUCGCACGACAGUGCACAUCAUCGACACCUCCGCCCAUCUCACGCAACUGCCGGCACAUUGACGUCUCGAUUUAGAUAGCAAUGGAAGCGGAAAUAAGUGUACCCUCGGAGGCGGCAAAUUGGCGGACAACAACAGACUACUGUUUAUCAUUUCAGGUUAGGCUCACC